AGGGGCAUAGUGUAAUGGUAACACCCCGGUCUCCAAAACCGUUAUUGAGGGUUCGAAUCCUUCUGCCCCUGCCA
rnacentral:tRNA from 1 species